rnacentral:rRNA from 1 species
CUUCACUGCAGUCGAGCGGCAGCGCGGGGCAACCUGGCGGCGAGCGGCGAACGGGUGAGUAAUGCAUCGGAACAUGUCCUGUCGUGGGGGAUAGCCCGGCGAAAGCCGGAUUAAUACCGCAUACGUCCGAGAGGAGAAAGUGGGGGACCGCAAGGCCUCACGCGAUUGGGUUGGCCGAUGUCCGAUUAGCUAGUUGGCGGGGUAAGAGCCCACCAAGGCGAUGAUCGGUAGCUGGUCUGAGAGGAUGAUCAGCCACACUGGGACUGAGACACGGCCCAGACUCCUACGGGAGGCAGCAGUGGGGAAUUUUGGACAAUGGGGGCAACCCUGAUCCAGCCAUUCCGCGUGAGUGAAGAAGGCCUUCGGGUUGUAAAGCUCUUUUGUCCGGAACGAAACGGUGGACGUGAAUAUCGUCCGCUACUGACGGUACCGGAAGAAUAAGCACCGGCUAACUACGUGCCAGCAGCCGCGGUAAUACGUAGGGUGCGAGCGUUAAUCGGAAUUACUGGGCGUAAAGCGUGCGCAGGCGGUUUUGUAAGCCAGAUGUGAAAUCCCCGGGCUCAACCUGGGAAUGGCAUUUGGGACUGCAAGGCUUGAGUGCGGCAGAGGAGACUGGAAUUCCUGGUGUAGCAGUGAAAUGCGUAGAUAUCAGGAGGAAUACCGAUGGCGAAGGCAGGUCUCUGGGCUGACACUGACGCUCAUGCACGAAAGCGUGGGGAGCAAACAGGAUUAGAUACCCUGGUAGUCCACGCCCUAAACGAUGUCGACUGGUUGUUGGGGGGUUUGACACUCUCAGUAAACGAAGCUAACGCGUGAAGUCGACCGCCUGGGGGAGUACGGCCGCAAGGUU